rnacentral:lncRNA from 1 species
CAGCCCUCUGCCCUUCCCUCAAGGCUGGCCAGUAAGCAGAGCCAGUGCUGACCGAGGGGGUGUGCCAGGAAGAGUGGGGUGGGUAGGAGUGGCAGUGCCUGUGAGUACUGCCCAGGAGCAGAGGAGCAUUGCUCAGAGAGUAGAGAGGAACAAGCCUAUACUCUUAGCACCUCUGGAGGCUGAGGUAGGAGGAUUGCAGGUUCAAUGCCAGCUUCAGCAACUUAUCAAGGCCCCAAGCAACUCAAUGAGACCCUUUCUCUAAAUAGAAAAUAAAAAUAAAAAUGGCUGGGGAGUAGAGCACCCUUGAGUUAAAUCCUCAGCAUCCCCCCAUACCAAAAAAAAAAAGAGAGAGCAUGGAGAGCUGAGACCAGCUCUGGGGCCUGAAAGUGGAGGAAGGAGCCUCCUUCCUUCCUUUCUUCCAUGCUGUGAUCCCUUGCAGAUGUACAGAGGCCUGUAUCUCCAUUUAUUAAUUUCAAAGUUGAUUCUGACUCAGGAGGAGAAAGAGAAGGUAUGGGAAAUGGGGAAACCCUUUGGCUGGGGACUGUGCCUUGGGAACAGGCCUAGAUGAGUUAAUAUUCUGAUCAAACAAUUAAAAAUAGAAAACGCUCCCGAGGCACCAGCUGCUGAGGCUCUCGGCAACUGUCACCAGCGGGUUCAGGGGCAGGUGGUGCUGGAAGGAGCUUCUCUCCACAAACAGCAAAUUUCAGAGGUCACUGAGUGCCCACUGCCCUCCCAGUACUAGGGAAGGGUCUGGGGCUCCCAGUCCUCCAUGGUUCCCUCAGGGGCCUCAGUGGGGCCUGUGCAGCUUCAGGGCCGCCCUUCUCCCCUGCAGGGCUGGCCACACGGUGAAGUCAUCGCCAGAUGCCUUGGUAAUUGCUUUAAGAGUCCAACUUA